rnacentral:rRNA from 1 species
UACGUAGGGGGCAAGCGUUGUCCGGAUUUAUUGGGCGUAAAGAGCGUGUAGGCGGUUUGGUAGGUCCGCUGUGAAAACUCGAGGCUCAACCUCGAGACGCCGGUGGAAACCAUCAGACUAGAGUCCGGAAGAGGAGGGUGGAAUUCCUGGUGUAGCGGUGAAAUGCGCAGAUAUCAGGAAGAACACCCGUGGCUAAGGCGGCUCUCUAGUACGGUACUGACGCUGAGACGCGAAAGCGUGGGGAGCGAACAGG